rnacentral:rRNA from 1 species
CGUAGCGCGGUGGUCCCACCUGACCCCAUGCCGAACUCAGAAGUGAAACGCCGUAGCGCCGAUGGUAGUGUGGGGUCUCCCCAUGCGAGAGUAGGGAACUGCCA